UACGAAGGGGGCUAGCGUUGCUCGGAAUUACUGGGCGUAAAGGGCGCGUAGGCGGAUAUUUAAGUUAGAGGUGAAAGCCCAGGGCUCAACCCUGGAAUAGCCUUUAAUACUGGAUAUCUUGAGUUCGGGAGAGGUGAGUGGAACUCCGAGUGUAGAGGUGAAAUGCGUAGAUAUCGGAAGGAACACCUGUGGCGAAAGCGGCUCACUGGACCAUUACUGACGCUGAGGCACGAAAGCUAGGGGAGCAAACAGG
rnacentral:rRNA from 1 species